rnacentral:rRNA from 1 species
UACGUAGGGUGCAAGCGUUGCCCGGAAUUAUUGGGCGUAAAGAGCUCGUAGGCGGUUUGUCGCGUCUGCUGUGAAAACUCGGGGCUCAACUCCGAGCUUGCAGUGGGUACGGGCAGACUAGAGUGCGGUAGGGGAGACUGGAAUUCCUGGUGUAGCGGUGAAAUGCGCAGAUAUCAGGAGGAACACCGGUGGCGAAGGCGCCACUCUGGGCCGGUACUGACGCUGAGGAGCGAAAGCGUGGGGAGCAAACAGG